UUAAUAAAGCUUGAAACUUUACUAUGAAACAAAUUUCUAAUCAGAUACAUGUAAAAGAGAAAAAUGACUCAAAUUCCCAAAACAAUUUAUGUUUUAAUUAUCUUUCUUUUUAUAUUUCUUGUUGUCAUCGAUGGUGGAUUUAUUCCUUGCGAUAGUUGGCGUGAUUGUCCAAAAAACUUUUGUGUGUAUCCUCGACGGAAGGUGUGUGUUGGUGGUUUUUGUGAAUGUUCUGAAAUAAAUUCACUUGAGCAAUUGUAUACAAGGAUGCCAUGAGAAGCCUCAUAUUAAACCUUACUAGUUUUUCUGAAUUGGAGAGGGAAAAAAAAACGAUCUAAAUCCCUCACUAAUAGCGAUGUUUAAUGUUAUUUUAAGUCUUUAAUGUCAUGAUAGUUUUAUGCUUAA